rnacentral:rRNA from 1 species
GUGCAUGGCCGCCGUCAGUUCGUACCGCAAGGCGUUCUGUUAAGUCAGAUAACGAACGAGACCCUCAUCUCUAUUUGCUAACCAGAUCUCCGGAUCUGGUGCACUAUAGGGAGACCGCUGGCGCUAAGUCAGAGGAAGGGGAGGGCAACGGUAGGUCAGUAUGCUCCGAAUGCUAUGGGCUACACGCGCAAUACAAAGGACAGGACAAUGGGCUGCUGCUCCGAAAGGAAUGAUAGCUAUCCCGAAACCUGUUCGUAGUUCGGAUUGAGGGCUGUAACUCGCCCUCAUGAAGCUGGAUUAGGUAGUAAUCGCGUCUCAAAAAGGCGCGGUGAAUAUGCCCCUGCUCCUUGCACACACCGCCCGUCAAA